UACGUAGGGGGCAAGCGUUGUCCGGAUUUAUUGGGCGUAAAGAGCGUGUAGGCGGCCAGAUAGGUCCGUUGUGAAAACUGGAGGCUUAACCUCCAGCUGUCGAUGGAAACCAUCUGGCUAGAGUCCGGAAGAGGAGAGUGGAAUUCCUGGUGUAGCGGUGAAAUGCGCAGAUAUCGGGAGGAACACCAGUGGCGAAGGCGGCGACCUGGGCCAAUAUUGACGCUGAGGUGCGAAAGCGUGGGGAGCAAACAGG
rnacentral:rRNA from 1 species